GUGGUCAUGGAGGGCAAUUAAGGCAUUUGCUAUGGCUGAACUAGAAGCUAGAAAGCUCAAAUAUGCAAAUGCAGGGACGGAGGCUCUUCUUAUGGGUGUCUUGAUUGAAGGUAGUGACCAAUUUUGCCUAUGUUAAGCUUUUCAUUUUCUAUGGGAAGUUAUGUUUUUCAUUAGUUAUUUAAAUUCCAGUUGCACGUAAUCACCUAAUUGAGUUGUCCGGGUGCAAAAUCUGUUUUGUUACUAAAACUUAUAAAUUUGUUUUAAAAUUUUUUUAAUACUCCAUAUUUAACAACAAUAUCAAAUAGGCCCAGAGUGGGUGGAGGGGAAUGAGCAGCCAAGUGAAAGUGAGAUGUGAGAUGUGCGAGAUGAGUAUACUUGGAUUAUGGCGCAAAUUGAACUUGUUGUAUUCUUAAUAUGCUGAAUUGAGUUUGUUGGUAAUUAUGUAAGAUAAAAAGAAAUUGGGAGAGCUUUUACUUUUUUUAUACCAGAUUUUGGGAAUUACUAUGCAUUUCUAAUUAUAAUCUGUAUAUUAGUAUUUGAUUUUAUCCUACUUGGAGUUAGAACUAACCGAUUAGUUUUGAACUUUCAUCCUUAUAAGCCCUUUGAACUUGUAUUAUUUAGAUGUUAACAUUGGCUUUGUUGUUU
rnacentral:misc_RNA from 1 species